rnacentral:lncRNA from 13 species
CUUAAACACUAUGCUAAACUCUUGUGGAUCUUUAUGUGCGAAAUAAUAUCUUUUCAUGACACAUGAAACAAAACUACAUGGGAGAAGUACCAGAUGAUAAAGGAGAUAUUAAAAUAGAAUUGUUAUCUUGUGAGGGUAGAAGAGCCCUCAAUCCAAGAAGUCUUCUUAUGCUCCAUCCUGACACCUGCUGA